rnacentral:sRNA from 1 species
CUCACUCAGCUCACCCGUUAAACCCUGAGGGUCUGUUUCAUUUUUUCCUUCCCACACAAACAUUACAGUAACAGUCUGGCCUUCCCAAACCACCACUGGAAACUUCAACUGAACUGAUCAUAUAUCAGUCAACUCUAGGAGACCAGCUCUGAUUCCAAGAAACUGUGACAUUGCCUCCAUUGGAAGUUACAACCUUCACCUGCCAACCUGGGCUCAUCCCAUAGGUUGUGACAUCAGAAAGUUGAUAGACGUGAUCGCUAAGAAUCUUGCCAGAUAUUCUAGGACUGCAAGUAAAAGAGACCCUAUUUUCUGUGCUGGGAAAAGCAUCUGAGUGGACCUAACACAGGGCAGUGAAAGUGAUGCAGAACAAACUUCAAAGCCUCCAGGAGCACACGUGACCUCAGGAAAUGAACAGAAACAACCUAGCUCUCCGAAGAGGAGUAUUUCAUUCAACUCCGAACUGCUCACACAUGCAACUGUGAACAAGGCUCAUUUAAAAAUCCAUGAAGCUUCUAAUGUUUUCACCACAAAAUAUAUUCAGUAUUGAGGUGCUGGAUAUGUUGACUAGUUUGAUUUAAUUAUUCCACAUUAUAUGCAUAAAUAGUAACAUCACCUUUUUCCCCAUAAAAUUAUACAAUUAUAAAUUGUCACUUUGCAAUUAAAACAAUAAAAUCC